AGCUUGCUCUCGGGUGACGAGUGGCGGACGGGUGAGUAAUGUCUGGGAAACUGCCUGAUGGAGGGGGAUAACUACUGGAAACGGUAGCUAAUACCGCAUAACGUCGCAAGACCAAAGAGGGGGACCUUCGGGCCUCUUGCCAUCAGAUGUGCCCAGAUGGGAUUAGCUAGUAGGUGGGGUAACGGCUCACCUAGGCGACGAUCCCUAGCUGGUCUGAGAGGAUGACCAGCCACACUGGAACUGAGACACGGUCCAGACUCCUACGGGAGGCAGCAGUGGGGAAUAUUGCACAAUGGGCGCAAGCCUGAUGCAGCCAUGCCGCGUGUAUGAAGAAGGCCUUCGGGUUGUAAAGUACUUUCAGCGGGGAGGAAGGNNNUAAGGUUAAUAACCUUGUCNAUUGACGUUACCCGCAGAAGAAGCACCGGCUAACUCCGUGCCAGCAGCCGCGGUAAUACGGAGGGUGCAAGCGUUAAUCGGAAUUACUGGGCGUAAAGCGCACGCAGGCGGUCUGUCAAGUCGGAUGUGAAAUCCCCGGGCUCAACCUGGGAACUGCAUUCGAAACUGGCAGGCUGGAGUCUUGUAGAGGGGGGUAGAAUUCCAGGUGUAGCGGUGAAAUGCGUAGAGAUCUGGAGGAAUACCGGUGGCGAA
rnacentral:rRNA from 1 species